GACGUAGGGGGCGAGCGUUGUCCGGAAUUAUUGGGCGUAAAGAGCUCGUAGGCGGUUUGUUGCGUCGGCUGUGAAAUCCCGAGGCUCAACCUCGGGUCUGCAGUCGAUACGAGCAAACUAGAGUGUUGCAGGGGAGACCGGAAUUCCUGGUGUAGCGGUGGAAUGCGCAGAUAUCAGGAGGAACACCGAUGGCGAAGGCAGUUCUCUGGGCCGUAACUGACGCUGAGGAGCGAAAGCGUGGGGAGCGAACAGG
rnacentral:rRNA from 1 species